rnacentral:sRNA from 1 species
AAGGAACAUACAUCAAAGAAGACUAU